rnacentral:rRNA from 1 species
GAGUUUGAUCGUGGCUCAGAUUGAACGCUGGCGGCAGGCCUAACACAUGCAAGUCGGGCGGUAGAGAGAAGCUUGCUUCUCUUGAGAGCGGGCGGACGGGUGAGUAAUGCCUAGGAAUCUGCCUGGUAGUGGGGGAUAACGCUCGGAAACGGACGCUAAUACCGCAUACGUCCUACGGGAGAAAGCAGGGGACCUUCGGGCCUUGCGCUAUCAGAUGAGCCUAGGUCGGAUUAGCUAGUUGGUGAGGUAAUGGCUCACCAAGGCGACGAUCCGUAACUGGUCUGAGAGGAUGAUCAGUCACACUGGAACUGAGACACGGUCCAGACUCCUACGGGAGGCAGCAGUGGGGAAUAUUGGACAAUGGGCGAAAGCCUGAUCCAGCCAUGCCGCGUGUGUGAAGAAGGUCUUCGGAUUGUAAAGCACUUUAAGUUGGGAGGAAGGGCAGUAAAUUAAUAACUUUGCUGUUUUGACGUUACCGACAGAAUAAGCACCGGCUAACUCUGUGCCAGCAGCCG